rnacentral:rRNA from 1 species
UACGUGAAACUGUUCAGGGAUAAACCUGUGGUUCCCGAAAGUUCGAACGGGGAGAUUCAAUUGCCUCGCCGGUUAUGACCAUUUAGCAGUGAUAAUUUAUAUUUGAGACAUUAUAUGCGUACAGUUUAAUACCUGUAGCUGUUAUAUAGUGCUCCGCUGUUUUAUGUUAAAGUUUAUAGCCGGAGGCGUGCACUUCUCCCCUUGUAGGGCGUCGUGACCUAUUGGGUAAAUAUAUUUAAUGUUGUCUAAGGUUCACAAUGGAGACCGUAACGUCAAGUUAAUACUUGUGCGUAACGGACUUGUGGUGUCCCGACAUCUACCCGAUGGUAUAUUAUAGUGAUGAUGGAACGCAAAUUUUUGUAUGCAUUCAGAUCUAUGACAAAUAUUCGUACUAUUUUAUAUAUAAUUGUGGAAAUCGGACUAUGUGCCGAUUCUGCAUGUAUGAUAUUGUUAGUUAUAGUAUUCUCGAAUUUUUUGUUCCUUAUAAAUCAUCCGUCAACGGCGUUUAUGUUUUGGGUAAUUACAGGACCCGUCUUGAAACACGGACCAAGGAGUCUAGCAUGUGCGCAAGUCAUUGGGACUUUGUUAAACCUAAAGGCGUAAUGAAAGUAAAUAUUUAUUAAAUUUUCGUAAUUUAUAAAUAUAGGGAAGAUAGAUUAACUAUAAAUGUUAUCUCGCAUUCCCGGGGCGUCGCGUACUCAUUGCGAGUUGCGGCGCACCAAGAGCGUAUACGCUGGGACCCGAAAGAUGGUGAACUAUGCCUGGUCAGGAUGAAGUCAGGGGAAACCCUGAUGG